rnacentral:tRNA from 1 species
CGGUAUGGCUCAAUGGCAGAGCAACAGUUUUGUAAACUGUGGGUUGUGGGUUCGACUCCCUCUACCG